CAGGAAUUAGUUUAGUGUAAAAUAGUGGUUUUGGAGAUCAUUGAAAGGAUUUUUCUAUUCUUGA
rnacentral:tRNA from 1 species